AGCGUCAACCUGAGACUGCCACGCUCAGAAUUCAACACAGGAAAGAGCCACCGCCAAGCUCUACCCUGAGGCGGGGAGUGAGGGGGAGAGUUGCCCAAGGUCCAAGAGGGGCUGCGAGAGCCUUUGCCCGACGCCUCCCAGCCUCUUAGCACUCCUAGAGCUUUGGUUUUAUCGGGUAUUAGCAUGUGAAGCCUUAAGGGACGGGCACCUCUAGGCUUCUGCCUGAGGCUGUGUAAACGCAACAAAAUGAAGCUUGGUCCUGGAACGUUAGGACACUGAUGGGAGGGUGACCGCCCCCAUCCAAUAGCGCGCCCGAAGGGCAAGUCAGAGGCGGCCGAACGCCACGUAAGCCCGGUCCACGGUCACUGACGUCGCCGGGGUCCCGCCCACAUCUCUUCUAGCCCCGCCCCUUUCAGUGCCGGACUGAAGUCGAGCUCUUCCCACGCCCUGUCAGCCACAGGUGAAUUAAAAACCCGGAGAGCGGAACCCCGAACGGCAACCAGAAGGCCCAGGGACACCUCAUAGCAACAGCCAACUGGGGGCAUCUAGUGGGAAGCUGGGAUUCCUUCUAGCCAACCACAUCACGUUUCUGCCCCCUAUGGUACCACUCACGACCAAUAAGAGAGCCGACUAUUACCACGUGACUCCCCUCCUUCAACCAAUCGGAAAAAACGCUAGUCGCCGGACCCGCAAGCCCACCUCCCAGUGCCUAGCCAGGCGGGGCGUUUGGCGCACUCUCUGCCAACCAAUCGUAGGCGAGCUGGUGAAUGACGGAACUUCAGCCUAGCCAACCACAGCUCGCGAGCCCCUUGCCACAGAGGCCGGCGGGAUGGAGACCGGGCUUGCUGCUGGGGUUUGGGAGGGGCAGAGAUUGAGGAGCCAGUUGCUGUGCCCUGUUCUGGCAAAAGAACAAGAUGCGUUGCAAGCCAGAGUGAUGAAUUCCACUUUUAACGUCGUCUCCGUGGCAUUCUGCCUAAAUGAUGGGCAUGGAAAUGGUGCUGAGGGAUGUGGGCUGAAUCGAGAACACAGGGACUUUUGUCUUCUGGGUGAGAAAUGUUCCCGGUCCUUAAGGAGACGUCGUGCAGCAGUUGCAUGAGUCUUCCAGGCGUGCCUUUCAAAACACUUUUUUCUUUAAUUAUUAAGUUUUAAAAGUUAGCGUUCUGUCGCUAGCAUUGCAUCUUAGUUACACACCCCCUCCCACUCAUAACGUCAAAUUUAGGAGACAUUAUAUCCCCAAGCAUUCCUGCAUUUUUUUUUUUUUGUAGUAACUGGUUAUUCGGUUUACUUUCUUUAAACGAUGUCCUUCUCAAACUAGUCUCACCUGUUUGUUACUGUCGCACUUUUCCUGCGAAUAAUACAUUUCUGUAGUUCUAUUAUUAGAGCCUGGCAUACCUCUCCCCUGUUCCUCUUUCCCACAAGGUCAUCAUGCCAAGGGGAUUUUGGUCUGAAUUAAAAGCCAGGUAAUCUUUCACUAUCUUUUCUGUCGAUAGUCAAACUAGUACAAAGACUACUCAAAUUUAGCAGUCUCCUAUUUCCCUGUAGAUUCGUUAUAUUAGAAUGGAUAACUUACAUUUGCAUUACCUUGCUGUAAUAAACACGCACCAAGUUUUCAUUUUCAAUUAUUGAGGGCAAAUGUCCUCAGUUUAAACAUGUGUAUGUAGUAAAAUAAAACAGCAUUUCUUGAUUACAUGUCAUUAAAAUAGGAAUGGUACUAUCUGAGCCACCAGAAUGAGCAGUGAAGGUAUUGUGUUAAUAAAAAGAACUAAGAAUCAAGACUGUUUUAAGGGAAUUGAAAUCGAAGAGGAUCUACUAUUUCAUCCUAGGCUAGUAAUUUGAAAUAGUGAAUUAAAAUUGAGAGAGCUCACAUGGAUGCUUCAUAUCUGAGCUACUUUGGCAGGGAUGUUUCAAGAAGAUGUAGGUUUAAUAACAAAAUGCAGUGCAAAAACUCCAGGCACUAGCCAAGUCAUGUGACAUGAGACAUGGGAUCAGCUUAUCUCACAGACCCAGACAUAGAGCCCCGUGCCAGCCUGACAACGAGUGGACAAUCCAGGAGGAUUUGAGUAUUUCCUGCAGCUGUUCAACAAAUACAGAAAGAGCUCCUUAAAGUUUCUGGCUAUAGCCCAGCCUUCCAGCUCCCUGACUCAGAUGGGACCUGUCAGAACCAGAUUUGAAGACAUUAAACUGGGACAUUGGCGUGACUGACUGAUAUAAACAGAUUCUGUCACAUCCCUGGCUGCUGUUGUCACUGGUAAGUUGGGGCUUAGAUCUCUACCUCAACCUUUCACUGAUGCACAUAUUCAGUUUUACUAGGUCGCACAUAAUAGUUUUCUAAAGUGAUGAUACCAAUUUAAUCUCCAAACACUACCUUUUGUUCAAUGUUUAAAUUUUUUGCUGACCUAAUACAUGUGAAAUGAUACCUCAUUGUGGUUUUAAAUUGCAUUUCCCUGAUUACUAAUGGAGAAUUUUCCAUGUUUUGGGGCCAUUUAUGUUUCCUCUUCUAUGAAAUGCCUGUUCAUGUCUUUUACUCAUUUUUAUAUUUGGGUUGUUUGUCUCUUUUUAUAUUGAUUUGUUGGAGUUCUUAACAUAUUCAAAUACUAAUUUUUAUCUCACAUAUGUGUAUCAAGUAUCUUCUUUUAGUUUGUUUUCUCAUCUUCCUUUAGAGCCCUCAGACAAGCAGAAUUUCUUAAUAUAAAAGAAGUUGAAUUUGUUAAUCAUUUCCUCUAAGAUUCUGAGCUUUAUAAAAACAUUUCAUGUGUCUUCUCCACCCCCCAAAAUGGGAGAUAUAUUCUUAUGCACUGUCUUCUCAAAAAUGUAUCAUUUUGCCUUUCACAAUGAAAUAUUUUUAUUUAAUUUGAAUAGAUGAUUUUUAUGUGUGGUGGGGCAUAGGGGUUCAAUCUGAAUUUAAAAAUUCAUUACAUAACCAAAUUCCGCACUAGCAUUUUUUGCAUAGUUCCCCUGCCCCUACUGAUCUUCAAUGCCUGUCUGUCACUUUGUCAUGAGUCAAGGUUUUUUUCCUUUUUUUUUUUUUUUUUUAAGUAUGGACUGUUUCUGGCUUUUCUGUUUUGUUCCAUCAAUCUGCCUUGUCUAACACUGUAUCAGUUCCACACUGCCUUAGUUACUGCAGUUUUAGAAUUAGUCUUGGUAGGGGUGGGGAGGGCCUUUUACCCUAUUUUCCUUCAAGAGUGUUAUGGCUGUUCCUAGUGCUUUGCUUUCCAUACACAUUUUAGAAUUAGUUUUCCAGGUACCAUAAACAAUGCUUUUAGCAUUUGGAUUCAAUUGCAUUAUAGCUAUAGAUUAAUAUGAUAUUGUUUUAUUUCCCAUUUGUGCACAUGGAAUAUCUCUCUGCUUAUUAAGAUCUUACAAAAAAGCUGAAAAUUUUCUCAAAAAGUACUUGCACAUAUUUUGUCAUAUUAAUUCCUAGAUAUGUUAUCUGGCUCAUAAGAGCCUCCUUUACAGCUCCCCAGUCUCUCUUUCCCUGUAUGUUGUUGGAUGUUCACAACAACUUUGGAAGUCACAAGUUGAGCAGGAUGGCAUCUCCAUCAAUGGACCCACAAGUAACUUGAAAGAGUAGAGCCCCAUCUCUUACCUGUUUCCCAUUAAAUUAGCUCUACCUACUGAGAAACAAAUUCUUCUUUUGUUAAGCCACUGAGAUGUGUCACAAUGAAUAAGAUUAUCUUAAGUAAUGUGUAUUAGUUUUAAUCUUGGAAAUUUGAUAAACACACUUAUUAAUCUUAAUAUUUACCUGUUGGUUAUUUGAUUAUUUUUGGCAUACAAAUGAUAUUAUCUUUUAAUAAUGAGCUUUACUUAUUUUCUCUUCUAUAUUUUACACAUUUUAUUUUAUUUCUUUUUCUUGUACUACAGCAUUAGCUGAUGUCUCCUGUACAAUGCUGAAUAAAGCCAACUAUGAUGUACAAUUUGCCUUGGUCUUGAUAUUGAAGGGAGUUAUUUAACAUUUUACCAUUAACUGCCAUUCUUGGUGUGGGUAUUUUGUAUAAAUCCUUCAUAACAAUAUGAAAGUUCUCUUAUUACUAGUUUGUAAAGAGAUUUUGUUGCAAACGGACAUUAUUUAAUGAUGUGUUUGCGUCUUUGGAAAGGUGUUUUUUCUCCAUGAAAUUGAUAAUGUGUUGAUAUAUUUGUUUUCGUGAAUGACAUUGACUCAUACUUUUACUGUCCUUGGCUGGGUUGCAAAUCAAAUAAAUAGCAACAGUUUAUCUUUGUUUACUUUGUUUACAGUUUUGCUAUUUUGUUCAUCAUGGAUUUUUUUGUGUUAGUUUUGAUUUUUAAAAAUAUUACAUUAAAAUAUUCUUUGUCUCAAGUUCAGGGUUUUUUGGUGCUCCCUUAAAUGCUAUACCUGAAACAGGUGAGUAAAUGCUGAUCCAGCCCUGCAGACAGCUUGGUCCAGGCCAAGUCUUUCUUUUAGUCUCCUGUGCUUCUGGAGGCUCCAAAGUACUGGAGCUGGGCAGAUGCCACCAGCAGAGGAUAGAUUUGGUCCCAGGACCUGUAAAAGCAUUCUCAUUUUUUAUUAAGCCUCUGAGCAUUUCUUCCUUUCUUGAUAGUUCCAAAGUGCCUUUAAAGAAACAGUUUUAAUAUUUUAUCCAGCUGUCUUUGUUAUUCUCCUCCAGAGGCUCAUUCAAUGUAUUUAUUCCAUUGUGCCUCCAGAAAUGAUACUCUGGAACGUUUAUUGCUGUAAGAUAUAAAGAGCUGGGUUGUCUGUUGAGCCAAGCCAGUGCUUGAUGGCUGGCCCUUGGGUUACUUAAUUCCACUAUGAGACAACCAGACUGUCCCAGUUAACUUUACCAGGAGUAAUGCUGAGAGAUCAUCCUGCUUGGGAAAUGACACAAAUACAGAAACUCAUUUCAAAUGGCAAAAUUUUAAAAAUUGGAUUUGUUUUUCAAGGACAACUGAUGUCUUUAUAAUCCAGGCACAGUUCCAAGAGUUUUUAUAUGGUAACUCAUUAAAUUCUCACAACCAUCCUAUGUGAUAGAAGAAAGUGGAUAGCCGGGAUGUGAGCUAAUUUUGCUUCCAAUUGCAUGCUUGUAAACACUAUGCCUAUUGCCUUUUAGGGUUGCAGAAUGAAGUGUCGUUAGUGAGUGUUAGCACAGACCAAUGAUCAACAAGGGGCUCUAAUAUUAACCCAGUUUCCUGUCUCCUGCAGUGGCUCCAUUUAAAGAAAGUCAAGUGCUUCAAUAAUGGAAUUGACAAAUGAUGGAUCUACCUAUUGAUACCAGUUUGGAUUCCCUGGGAAGUAAACUCUGAAGUGGUGAUCAGUGUGCAUGAAGCUUUUUAGGGAAGACACUUGGGACCAACCCAUGCGGAAGGGAGGGCAGAAAGCGCAGUGAGGCAGAGGGAGAAGCUGGGCUCUGUCGAAGUCUCAACAAAGGCCUCAGCCUGCCCCAUGGACACCCAAGGAUGACUAUUCAGAAUUGCUCUGAUUUGGGGCAAGGUUGUGGGCCUUCAUCCUCUUCCUUCAACCAACUGGAAAAGAGGCAUGUGAGGAGAGGGAGUGGGGCUUUGGACCAGGCAUUUCUCUUUAGCUAAUGCAAUUCCAGAAGAAUGGACUGCUGCAGCACUCCUGGACCCUGGGGAGUAAGUACUUCAUUCUGCAGGAGGAUCUGACAGCACACUGCAGCUCCACUCUGCCAUUCACUUUUUCAGUUGUAGCUGUCUUGCAAAAGCCAAUGUCCCACCAUGUUUUUUUGUGUGCCAUUCACUCCUUUGAGUAUAGAACCCCCAUCCAUUCUCAUCACCCACCUCUGCAUUUUUACUCCUGUUGCUUCUCAGGCUUCUCACUUUGCCAAAUUCUGUAUUUACCACUCCUCCAGGUCCAUCUCAAGAGACUUCUCCAGGGAGACUUCCAUCCCAUCUCCAGCUCUCACCAAUUUUCCAUGGCAUUCUCUGUCUAUUUAAUAAUUUGGAACUCGUCAUGAGAUAUCUCAAUCUAUACCUUGUAUUUUGUUUCCAUCUGUAUGUUUUUUUCUUUCUCUAACUAAAUUAUAGCUAGAUUAUGAUGGUUUCAGAUUGUUUACAAUCUAAUAAGGAAAUAGGCUCUUUGUUUUUCAUGUUUUCUAGCAUUUUGUAAUAUGCACAUUAGAAGCUCAAAAAUACUUGUUAAAUAAGUGGAUCACUGCUUAGCUCCUUAGCCAAGAAUGUAGUGAGUGUGGCAACUGUAAUGAAUCACUAUUUUAAUUUCAUAGUUUUAGAUUUUUAUUUAUGCUCAUCUCUUCUGACAUCCCAGAUUUAUUAAUCAUUCACUCAACAAAUAUGUAUUGAAUUCUGUUGUGUCCCAGACACUGUUUUGAGCAAAGGGUAUGAUACGGUGGUGAUGUGGUUUGACUGCGUUCCCACCCAAAUCUCAUCUUGCAAUUGUAGCUCCCAUAAUUCCCAUGUGUUGUGGGAGGGACCCUGUGGGAGAUAAUUGAAUCAUGGGGCGAUUUCCCCAUAC